GGCUAAAUGAGGACAAAGCUGUCUCUUACGGCCUAGCCAAUGAAAUUGAUCCUCCAGUACAAAAGCUGGAAUAAACUCAUAAGACGAGAAGACCCUGUGGAGCUUUAAAACCAAGAUCAUUAAACUAUGCUCCUUGGAUUUUUAGUUGGGGCGACUUUGGAGCAAAAAAAACCCUCCAAAACAUAAAUUUAAUUAUUUAGACCAACACACCAAGAAAACUAUAUUAGACCCAGCAGUAUUUUUUACUGUCUGACCAAUGAACCAAGUUACCCCAGGGAUAACAGCGCUAUCCUCUUCUAGAGUCCCUAUCGACAAGAGGGUUUACGACCUCGAUGUUGGAUCAGGACACCCCUAUAGUGCAGCCGCUAUAAAAGGUUCGUUUGUUCAACGAUUAAAGUCCUACGUGAUCUGAGUUCAGACCGGA
rnacentral:rRNA from 1 species